CAGAUAACUUGGAGUUUAUGAGCGUCCCCCGGACUUCAGUGAAUCUCCAAAUCCAACUGCGAGAUGGUACUAGCCGGAGGAGCUACCGCUGUUGUUGUUGUUGCUGCACCUGUACUUCGAGGAAGGAGGAGGUCUCGACCCGGUUGUUGUGUUGUUGCAUAAAUGGCACUUGAUGUGUGGUGAUAACGUCCAGCGUAGCUCUUGCCAAUGCCAACAACCAGCGACGCUGCCAUGCCAUGCGCCAUGCUGCUCGGGCCUUCCCGCAUCACGAACCAGCAGCUGAGAGGCACCCCUUCCGCUGCCUAGGUGCAGUGAGUCCCUAGUUUGCUGAUGUCUGGCUUCAUCGACGUGGUUGUGCCAUUGGAAGUGGGCCCCGUGAUGAUGCCCACCAUAUUGAGUUUGCUGGUGUUGUGAGGAGAUAGGCUGUUAAUAUCUCCCCCCUGAGUCGUGCCGAGGAGAGCUCCUUCAAGAACAUCAGCACCAUUACUGAGUGCACCUCGCUGAUGAGUUGAUCAACAUUGCCAAGGGCUUAUCUAACAGUGGAGGUAGAGCUGGCCAGGAGGUACCCAUGACCAUUAGAUAAAGUCGGCUGGCACGAGCGGCCUUCUUCAACCCCAUUAGAUCAUCAGGGCGUAUAUUUCCGAGGGGGGCGAAUUACUUCAAAUUCGGCUGAGUUUCCUUUGCUGGCAACAAAGAGCCGAAGAUAGACCACAUUGGCCUGGGUUUGGUGCUACAAUAUUUCAUUUCCUGGGAGCAUAGAAGGCUGCUGUCUGAUGCAUGACUGGAUGGUGGCCUUCUUCUUCUUCGAGUCCGUUGCUUUUUGUAAGUUUCU